CAGUUAAUGAACUAAUUUAUUGAUUUUUCAGUUUAUUGAAGAGGCUCGCUCUCCAUUUGUGAAGAAGUACAAGACCAUCAUACAUCCGGGCGAGGUGAACAGAAUUAGGGAAUUGCCGCAAAAUUCUAAGAUAGUGGCUACUCACACAGACAGUCCUGAUGUUCUCAUUUGGGAUGUUGAAAGUCAACCUAACCGUCACGCUGUCCUUGGAGCUACAAACUCUCGUCCAGAUUUGAUAUUGACAGGGCACCAAGACAAUGCUGAGUUUGCUCUUGCAAUGUGCCAAACUGAGCCUUAUGUCCUUUCAGGAGG